UGAACUGNUAAGCUAGAGUGUGUCAGAGGGGGGUAGAAUUCCACGUGUAGCAGUGAAAUGCGUAGAGAUGUGGAGGAAUACCGAUGGCGAAGGCAGCCCCCUGGGAUAACACUGACGUUCAUGCUCGAAAGCGUGGGUAGCAAACAGGAUUAGAUACCCUGGUAGUCCACGCCCUAAACGAUGUCAAUUAGCUGUUGGGCAACUUGAUUGCUUAGUAGCGUAGCUAACGCGUGAAAUUGACCGCCUGGGGAGUACGGUCGCAAGAUUAAAACUCAAAGGAAUUGACGGGGACCCGCACAAGCGGUGGAUGAUGUGGAUUAAUUCGAUGCAACGCGAAGAACCUUACCUGGUCUUGACAUGUACGGAAUCUCUCAGAGACGGGAGAGUGCCUUCGGGAACCGUAACACAGGUGCUGCAUGGCUGUCGUCAGCUCGUGUCGUGAGAUGUUGGGUUAUGUCCCGCAACGAGCGCAACCCUUGUCAUUAGUUGCCAUCAUUAAGUUGGGCACUCUAACGAGACUGCCGGUGACAAACCGGAGGAAGGUGGGGAUGACGUCAAGUCCUCAUGGCCCUUAUGACCAGGGCUUCACACGUCAUACAAUGGUCGGUACAGAGGGUCGCCAAGCCGCGAGGUGGAGCCAAUCUCACAAAACCGAUCGUAGUCCGGAUUGCACUCUGCAACUCGAGUGCAUGAAGUCGGAAUCGCUAGUAAUCGCAGGUCAGCAUACUGCGGUGAAUACGUUCCCGGGUCUUGUACACACCGCCCGUCACACCAUGGGAGUGGGGGAUACCAGAAGUAGGUAGG
rnacentral:rRNA from 1 species